rnacentral:rRNA from 1 species
AUUGAACGCUGGCGGUAUGCUUAAGACAUGCAAGUCGAACGGUAACAGACCUUCGGGUGCUGACGAGUGGCGGACGGGUGAGUAACACGUGGGAAUCUACCUUGUAGUGGGGGAUAAGCCAGGGAAACUUGGACUAAUACCGCAUACGCCCCAAGGGGGAAAGGCGCAAGUCGCUAUAAGAUGAGCCCGCGUCUGAUUAGCUAGUUGGUGAGGUAAAGGCUCACCAAGGCGACGAUCAGUAGCUGGUCUGAGAGGAUGGCCAGCCACAUUGGGACUGAGACACGGCCCAGACUCCUACGGGAGGCAGCAGUCGGGAAUAUUGGACAAUGGGGGCAACCCUGAUCCAGCAAUACCGCGUGUGUGAAGAAGGCCUGCGGGUUGUAAAGCACUUUCAGUAGGGAAGAUAAUGACGUUACCUACAGAAAAAGCACCGGCUAACUCCGUGCCAGCAGCCGCCGUAA